UACGAAGGGUGCAAGCGUUACUCGGAAUUACUGGGCGUAAAGGGAGCGUAGGCGGACUUUUAAGUGAGAUGUGAAAUACCCGGGCUCAACUUGGGUGCUGCAUUUCAAACUGGAAGUCUAGAGUGCAGGAGAGGAGAAUGGAAUUCCUAGUGUAGCGGUGAAAUGCGUAGAGAUUAGGAAGAACACCAGUGGCGAAGGCGACUCACUGGGCCAUUACUGACGCUGAGGUGCGAAAGCGUGGGGAGCAAACAGGAUUAGAUACCCU
rnacentral:rRNA from 1 species